CGCUCGAACCGGCUCAGACGGGGCGGCUGUGUUCUGUGCCACGGCUCGGGCUUCAUACCUUAACGGCCACCCUCCCCAUCUUAUUACUGUCUCACCAACACCCAUCUCUGGAUCCUUCCUGCUCCUCCUCUCUCCUUAUCCCGUCCAACCUCGCAAGAAACCAGAUCGGCGGCCAUGUCCUCUCAGCUUCUUCCUCGCACCACCAUGGGGAGACGCUUCCGCUCAUCCCUUGUCCGCAUUGCGGUGGCAAGGACGUCACCUUCGUCUCACGGUCGGAGUCCGGUUCAACAAGCUUGACUAUGUGGCUUCAUGAGAUCCAACGACACUGACCUGCCGGAGCUAAGUCGCCAUGGCCUCUCCUCUCCCAGGGGUACGGAUUGCAGCAGCCGCUCUCCGUGCAUCCAGCCUCGUCUCUCCAGCACAGAUCUCGCCGGGGGCAAUGCUUUCCCUGGCGGAACACAGAUCGACCACCAAGCCGCACAUGGAGGUGUCUGACGAAGGAAGCUGCGAGGGGGACACGGCGGCCGAUGACGGCGGCCGAUGAAGUAUGACAUUACAUCAUCCCAAAUGUUCAUUAUUCCAGUGCCACGCCCAGAGGGCUGGAUGGUGCGAAUCUUUGACAAUUGACAUGGUGACAAAAAUAACAAAUGUUUUUGACCCACUGUACACGAAAAUUUCUAAUAGUCAUCCGACCAAGGAACGAGAUCAGGGCACAGACUGGGAGUUGCACAAUGCAUUGUUUUCAUGUUUGAACGAAUUCUAUGCUGGAUGGCCGACGAAGCAAGGAAAAUUGGGGCGUCAAGCACAAUCCAACCACUGAUGCCAUCUUCAUACUAGCCGAGACAGGGACAUGCAUGAUCCACAUCGCUUGUCACUUCGAUGGAGAAAAGCUUAAGCUUCAGCUUACAAAGCACAACGUCUCCAAAACAAAGAAGGACGCCCUCCAUGAGUGUGCUUGAAGCUUCAGGGCAACUUCUCUGCACUUGCGCACAAUGCGUGGCAUCUGAUUCUGUGUUCAACAACUAGGAAGGGGCCUGCAACAGCGCCAUUUGCGUUAGACUGAUCAUCAGACACUUGCCGCUAUCUGCCUUCUAAUCGUUAUGUGCCAGACUGACUUUUGUAAAUAUCAAUGAUAAUAUCAUGAACGACAACUAUUUCUGCUUCGACUUA